rnacentral:rRNA from 1 species
UGGGGAAUAUUGCACAAUGGGCGCAAGCCUGAUGCAGCCAUGCCGCGUGUAUGAAGAAGGCCUUCGGGUUGUAAAGUACUUUCAGCGAGGAGGAAGGCGGUAAGGUUAAUAACCUUAUCGAUUGACGUUACUCGCAGAAGAAGCACCGGCUAACUCCGUGCCAGCAGCCGCGGUAAUACGGAGGGUGCAAGCGUUAAUCGGAAUUACUGGGCGUAAAGCGCACGCAGGCGGUCUGUCAAGUCGGAUGUGAAAUCCCCGGGCUCAACCUGGGAACUGCAUUCGAAACUGGCAGGCUAGAGUCUUGUAGAGGGGGGUAGAAUUCCAGGUGUAGCGGUGAAAUGCGUAGAGAUCUGGAGGAAUACCGGUGGCGAAGGCGGCCCCCUGGACAAAGACUGACGCUCAGGGGCGAAAGCGUGGGGAGCAAACA